AGAGUUUGAUCCUGGCUCAGGAUGAACGCUGGCGGCGUGCUUAACACAUGCAAGUCGAACGAACCUUCGGGUUAGUGGCGGACGGGUGAGUAACGCGUGGGAAUCUGCCCUCAGGAGGGGGAUAACGGCUGGAAACGGCCGCUAAUACCCCAUAUGCCGAGAGGUGAAAAGAAAUUCGCCUGAGGAUGAGCCCGCGUCUGAUUAGCUAGUUGGUGGGGUAAGAGCUCACCAAGGCGACGAUCAGUAGCUGGUCUGAGAGGAUGAUCAGCCACACUGGGACUGAGACACGGCCCAGACUCCUACGGGAGGCAGCAGUGGGGAAUUUUCCGCAAUGGGCGAAAGCCUGACGGAGCAACGCCGCGUGAGGGAUGAAGGCCUCUGGGCUGUAAACCUCUUUUCUCAAGGAAGAAGACAUGACGGUACUUGAGGAAUAAGCCACGGCUAAUUCCGUGCCAGCAGCCGCGGUAAUACGAGAGUGGCAAGCGUUAUCCGGAAUUAUUGGGCGUAAAGCGUCCGCAGGCGGCCCUGUAAGUCUGUCGUUAAAGCGUGGAGCUUAACUCCAUUUAAGCGAUGGAAACUACAGGGCUUGAGUGUGGUAGGGGCAGAGGGAAUUCCCGGUGUAGCGGUGAAAUGCGUAGAUAUCGGGAAGAACACCAGUGGCGAAGGCGCUCUGCUGGGCCAUAACUGACGCUCAUGGACGAAAGCCAGGGGAGCGAAAGGGAUUAGAUACCCCUGUAGUCCUGGCCGUAAACGAUGAACACUAGGUGUCGGGGGAAUCGACCCCCUCGGUGUCGUAGCCAACGCGUUAAGUGUUCCGCCUGGGGGGUACGCACGCAAGUGUGAAACUCAAAGGAAUUGACGGGGGCCCGCACAAGCGGUGGAGUAUGUGGUUUAAUUCGAUGCAACGCGAAGAACCUUACCAGGGUUUGACAUCCUGCGAAUCCCUUGGAAACGAGGGAGUGCCUUCGGGAGCGCAGAGACAGGUGGUGCAUGGCUGUCGUCAGCUCGUGUCGUGAGAUGUUGGGUUAAGUCCCGCAACGAGCGCAACCCACGUCUUUAGUUGCCAGCAUUCAGUUGGGCACUCUAGAGAGACCGCCGGUGAUAAACCGGAGGAAGGUGUGGAUGACGUCAAGUCAUCAUGCCCCUUACAUCCUGGGCUACACACGUACUACAAUGCUACGGACAAGGGGCAGCAAGCUCGCGAGAGUUAGCAAAUCCCAUAAACCGUGGCUCAGUUCAGAUCGUAGGCUGCAACUCGCCUACGUGAAGGAGGAAUCGCUAGUAAUCGCAGGUCAGCAUACUGCGGUGAAUACGUUCCCGGGCCUUGUACACACCGCCCGUCACACCAUGGAAGUUGGCCAUGCCCGAAGUCGUUACUCCAACCC
rnacentral:rRNA from 1 species